GAUGAAGAACGCAGCGAAAUGCGAUAAGUAGUGUGAAUUGCAGAAUUCAGUGAAUCAUCGAAUCUUUGAACGCACAUUGCGCCCCUUGGUAUCCCGAGGGGCAUGCCUGUUCGAGCGUCAUUUCACCACUCAAGCCUGGCUUGGUGUUGGGCGACGUCCCCUUUGGGGACGCGCCUCGAAACGCUCGGCGGCGUGGCACCGGCUUUAAGCGUAGCAGAAUCUUUCGCUUUGGAAGUCGGGGCCCCGUCUGCCGGAAGACCUACUCGCAAGGUUGACCUCGGAUCAGGCAGGGAUACCCGCUGAACUUAAGCAUAUCAGUAAGCGGAGGA
rnacentral:misc_RNA from 1 species